UCUUCGGGGGCGUAGAUAGUGCAGGUAAUCAGACUUCCAAGAAAAACCGCUAAGCUUCAGGUUAUAAAAACCCGUACCGCAAACCGACACAGGUAUCCGGGAAGAGAAUUCUAAGGCGCUCGAGUGAAUCAUGGCUAAGGAACUCGGCAAAAUGGCCCUGUAACUUCGGGAGAAGGGGCGCUGGUAGCAAUAUCAGCCGCAGUGAAAAGGCCCAGGCGACUGUUUAACAAAAACACAUGGCUUUGCAAAAUCGAAAGAUGAAGUAUAAGGCCUGACACCUGCCCGGUGCUGGAAGGUUAAGAGGGGAUGUCAUACGCAAGUAGAAGCAUUGAAUCGAAGCCCCAGUAAACGGCGGCCGUAACAAUAACGGUCCUAAGGUAGCGAAAUUCCUUGUCGGGUAAGUUCCGACCUGCACGAAUGGUGUAACGAUCUGGGCGCUGUCUCAGCCAUGAGCUCGGUGAAAUUGUGGUCCCGGUGAAGACGCCGGGUACCCGCAACGGGACGGAAAGACCCCAUGCACCUUCACUACAAUUUAACAUUGACAUUGGAUACAAGAUGUGUAGGAUAGGUGGGAGACUAUGAAGUGGCAUCGCUAGGUGUUGUGGAGUCAACGUUGAAAUACCACCCUUUUUGUAUUCGGUGUCUAACCUGACCUAGUCAGGGACAUUGUUUGAUGGGUAGUUUGACUGGGGUGGUCGCCUCCAAAAAGGUAACGGAGGCUUUCAAAGGUAAGCUCAAUACGCUUGGUAACCGUAUGAGGAGUGCAAUAGCAUAAGCUUGCUUGACUGUGAGGCAGACAAGCCGAGCAGGGUCGAAAGACGGAUAUAGUGAUCCGGUGGUUCUGCAUGGAAGGGCCAUCGCUCAAAGGAUAAAAGGUACGCUGGGAUAACAGGCUGAUCUCCCCCAAGAGCUCAUAUCGACGGGGAGGUUUGGCACCUCGAUGUCGGCUCGUCACAUCCUGGGGCUGGAGAAGGUCCCAAGGGUUCGGCUGUUCGCCGAUUAAAGUGGCACGCGAGCUGGGUUCAGAACGUCGCGAGACAGUUCGGUCCCUAUCUGUUGUGGGCGUAGGAAUUUUGAGUGGGGCUGACCUUAGUACGAGAGGACCGGGUUGGACUAGCCUCUAGUGAAUCUGUUGUUCCGCCAGGGGCAUUGCAGAGUAGCUACGCUGGGAAUAGAUAAGCGCUGAAAGCAUCUAAGUGCGAAACUAGCCACGAGAUGAGAAUUCCAUAUAGGACCGUAGCAGACUACUACGUUGAUAGGUUACAGAUGUAAAGGUGGUGACAUCAAAGUCGAGUAAUACUAAUAAUACA
rnacentral:rRNA from 1 species